CCCAUAUAAUCGGAGGCGAGCGGUGAGGAAGGCCGAAUCUCAGUGGAACGAAUGGACAACUGACUUGACCAAUGGAAGCCUUUCCCCUCCCACUGUGUUGUGCGGAGUAACAAGUGGAAGCGGCGUGUUUCGUUAGGAAGCCGUUAGGUCCCCGUGGCCGCGCACUGCUCUCCGCCGCCCGCUGCUGUCUGCGCCUCACAGCGCCCCUUCGCAGCCUGCCAGAGCUCUCGCUGCCUUCUCCAGGCUUCGUUUGGAUCCCAGCUGUGCUACUCAAGGAGUGGGUUUUGUAGCCCUGUGAGCGGCACUUGUGACCAGAUCUACGCCCUGUAACGUUAUUCUCUUCCAAUGAUUUCUCUCUGAGCUUCUGCGCAGGGCGAGCAAGAGAAAUAAAUGUAAUAAAAAUGAGACAACAUGCACAUUAGGUCAGAAAUAAUAUUUAUUAAGCCAUACACUGGUAGUAGCAGUCACAAAAUCAAAGUGCCGGCUGUAGGCAAAAUAACCAGCAUCAACUGCCCGUGUUAGCACUGCGCUGUGCAGAAGCGUCUGCAGUGGCAAUUGCUCGUGUGGUGUUUAGAUGCUGCCUUUGCCUCGAGCUCUGUCUAUACUAACAGCAUUGAGGAUGAAAUGAUGGUAGAAGAGGGAGUGUGAGAGAAGGACUGACUCAAAGAGUCAGCCGUUCGUCAGUACUGGACCGUUUCCUCAUCGUUUGGACACCAGGCCAGUCAUACUCUGCAGGAGAGAAUGAAUUCCCGGCGCCGGGUAACCAUUCCCUGGAGGCAUUCAAGGCCAGGCUGGAUGUGGCUCUGGGCAGCCUGGCCUGGUGGUUGGCGACCCUGCACAUAGCAGGGGGGUUGAAACUCGAUGAUCAUUGUGGUCCUUUUCAACCCAGGCCAUUCUAUGGUUCUAUGAUUUAGAGCUACCAGGUCCAGAAUCAUUCCCCUUGGUACCAGGCGUUACACUGUCACAGAAAAUUUAUAUCAAAAAACGAAGCUUUUAAAAUAAAAUUGAGAACAUAAAACAUUGUCUUCUGUGGUGCUUUCUCAUCUUGGCGUGCUAAUAGAACAUGUGUUUAACACAGGAUGGUUGGACAUCCUCUGGCCUGUGUGCUGCCUGUGGAACAGAACAGGCCCAAGAGCCUGACAGGCAGUUUAGGGACUGCUGACAUACUGGGAGGCCAGGAGGUGAGAUGAUUGAUUAGAAGCACAUGUGCCUAUCUUGGCUGUCCAUUUACACCACUUGUAAGCAAUGAGUCUUAAGUGAAGAGUUGUUAGCCCCUGACACUGAAUUAUUUUGUGGUUUCAGCUCUCCUGUCCCUGUUUGCAGAUUCUAUCUGUGUGAGCUGAAACUGUGUUCCUGCCACAGUGGUCACCAAGACUAAAUUAAUCAGAGGCAUCUCAAUUUCAAAAGGGCUCAGGGGAAAAACAAAACAAAACACCCUUUGUUAAUGAGCUAAGGCUUAGGCUGCAUCAGAGCUGAUUUCAUGAAGACUGAAAGCAUAUGAAAAGUGUAAAUGCUGCCCUCUUUAAAAAGUGGAGGUGUUUUCCAAAGCUGUUUGUGAAAGGAAAGAAAAGUGCCUUUCUCUUCUCUCAGUCCAUAGCUGACUUUGUUGCUUUAAAAAUGAUUACCAGCUUUCUCACAUGUGAGACUGAGCCACAAAAUAUGCACAAGAAGCCUAUUUUAGUGUUCUUUUUGCUAGAUCCUAUAUGUUCUUCAUAUAAUGACAGCUAUACUCUUCCAUGUUUUCAUAGCAGUUCUCUCAACUACUUUGUUUAUGGCUUCACCAGGACCUAAGGGCUCACUGGAGGUCAGCAUGCCAUAGAGGGCAGUCCCUGUGGUGUGGCAUUUGCAGCCUGAACAGCGUUAAGGGCUGGAAUAAGGUAUCAGUGAGGCAGCUGCAUGGAGGAGGGCCUUGCCUCUCUUCCCUGUACUUCGGCCUACGCGGCCUUCUCAGCCUGUGAGUGAUCUGUCUGCCUUCAGUGACCACGGCUGAUUUUAAGAAAUGUAUUUUACAAACAUGUUUUUCCCAUACACAGCGCUGCAAUCUGGCAAGAAUAUCUUUUUCACUUAACAGGUCUGAGGAAGAUGGUCAUCUGUAAUGCCCACUAAAGAGAUAAUUCAUUUCAGUAUCGUAGAAUCAUAGAACCAUAGAAUGGCCUGGGUUGAAAAGGACCACAAUGAUCAUCGAG
ensembl:lncRNA